rnacentral:rRNA from 1 species
CCUACGGGAGGCAGCAGUGGGGGAUAUUGCACAAUGGGGGAAACCCUGAUGCAGCGACGCCGCGUGGGCGAAGAAGUCUUUCGGUAUGUAAAGCCCUAUCAGCAGGGAAGAAGAACUGACGGUACCUGCGUAAGCAGCCCCGGCUACAUACGUGCCACCAGCCGCGGUAAUACGGAUGGUGCAAGCGUUAUCCGGAUUUACUGGGUGUAAAGGGAGCGCAGGCGGCACGGCAGGCCUGAGGGGAAAGCCCGCGGCCCAAGCGCGGGACUGCAUUGGGUACUACCGGGCUGGAGUGCCGGAGAGGUAGGCGGAAUGCGUGGUGUAGCGGUGAAAUGCGUAGAUAUUAGGAGGAACACCAGUGGCGAAGGCGGCCUACUGGACGGUGACUGACGCUGAGGCUCGAAAGCGUGGGGAGCAAACAGGAUUAGAUACCCGUGUAGUC